rnacentral:rRNA from 1 species
GUAAACCUGAGAAACCCAAAAGAUCGAAUGAGGAGAUUCAUCGUCAGCACACCUAGUAUAUGUGCAAGUUAUGAUACGAGUUAUUAUUCUUGUAGUAAUGCUUGUACGUUCUUGUAUUAUUUUUGCUGGGAGUUGUCGGCGUGCACUUCUCCUCUAGUAGGACGUCGCGACCCGUUGGGUGUCGUUCUAUGACCCGGAUGGUAGCCUUUAUUUCUUUAUUGAUUUAAAGACCACUGGUGAUCUGAUCGGCUGCCCGGCGGUAUUCGCACGGUAUUGAGUCGCAAUUAUAAUUUAUUUGCGUUGAGCCCGUUGCAAGCGCGGCCAUUCUCCCGGUAGUGCGGAUUUAAUGCCGUCAUUGGGGCUGGCCAGCUGUUGGUUGACGGUGUUCUUUAACUGGCUCAUUUAUUACCGGUCAGCGACGCUAUUGCUUUGG